UGGGGAAUUUUGCGCAAUGGGCGAAAGCCUGACGCAGCAACGCCGCGUGGGUGAUGAAGGUCUUCGGAUUGUAAAACCCUGUCGUCAGGGACGAAGGUUGUGUUCAUAAUACGGGCGCAACUUGACGGUACCUGGAGAGGAAGCCCCGGCUAACUCUGUGCCAGCAGCCGCGGUAAUACAGAGGGGGCAAGCGUUAUUCGGAAUUACUGGGCGUAAAGGGCGCGUAGGCGGUUCUUUAAGUCGGAUGUGCAAUCCCCGAGCUCAACUUGGGAACUGCAUCCGAAACUGGGGAGCUAGAGUACUGGAGAGGGUGGUAGAAUUCCACGUGUAGCGGUGAAAUGCGUAGAGAUGUGGAGGAAUACCAGUGGCGAAGGCGGCCACCUGGACAGUAACUGACGCUGAGGCGCGAAAGUGUGGGUAGCAAACAGG
rnacentral:rRNA from 1 species